rnacentral:rRNA from 1 species
UAGAGUUUGAUCCUGGCUCAGAUCGUACGCUGGCGGCAGGCCUAACACAUGCAAGUCGAGCGGUAACACAGAGGAGCUUGCUCCUUGGGUGACGAGCGGCGGACGGGUGAGUAAUGCCUGGGGAUCUGCCCGAUAGAGGGGGAUAACUACGGGAAACUGUAGCUAAUACCGCAUAACGUCUACGGACCAAAGUGGGGGCUCUUCGGACCUCAUGCUAUCGGAUGAACCCAGGUGGGAUUAGCUAGUUGGUGAGGUAAUGGCUCACCAAGGCGACGAUCUCUAACUGGUUUGAGAGAAUGACCAGUCACACUGGAACUGAGACACGGUCCAGACUCCUACGGGAGGCAGCAGUGGGGAAUAUUGCACAAUGGGCGCAAGCCUGAUGCAGCCAUGCCGCGUGUGUGAAGAAGGCCCUCGGGUUGUAAAGCACUUUCAGCGGGGAGGAAGGGUCACUAGUUAAUACCUAGUGACAUUGACGUUACUCGCAGAAGAAGCACCGGCUAACUCCGUGCCAGCAGCCGCGGUAAUACGGAGGGUGCAAGCGUUAAUUGGAAUUACUGGGCGUAAAGCGCACGCAGGCGGUUUGUUAAGUCAGAUGUGAAAUCCCCGAGCUCAACUUGGGAACUGCAUUUGAAACUGGCAAGUUAGAGUCUUGUAGAGGGGGGUAGAAUUCCAGGUGUAGCGGUGAAAUGCGUAGAGAUCUGGAGGAAUACCGGUGGCGAAGGCGGCCCCCUGGACAAAGACUGACGCUCAGGUGCGAAAGCGUGGGGAGCAAACAGGAAAAGAUCCCCUGGUAGUCCCCGC